rnacentral:rRNA from 1 species
GCCUACGAGUUGCUCCUCACUGGCCAGGCUAAGGCCUUCAGGGCCGAAACCGCAGCGAAAGCAAGUCUGAAUAGGGCGCCGAGUCAGUGGGGGCAGACGCGAAACCGGGUGAGCUACCCAUGAUCAGGUCGAAGCGCGGGUAAGACCGCGUGGAGGGCCGAACCGUCUAGUGUUGAAAAACUACCGGAUGAAUUGUGGGUAGGGGUGAAAGGCCAAUCAAACCCGGAAAUAGCUCGUACUCCCCGAAAUACAUUUAGGUGUAGCGUUGCGUUAAAGUGUGCUGGAGGUAGAGCACUGAUUGGGCUAGGGCCCUUCACCGGGUACCAAACCCAGACAAACUCCAAAUGCCAGCGACACGUUCCGCGACAGUGAGGGCAUGGGGGAUAAGCUCCGUGUCCGAGAGGGAAACAACCCAGAUCGACAGCUAAGGCCCCAAAGUCUAGACUAAGUUGCAUGAAGGAAGUCAGACUGCUUAGACAACCAGGAUGUUGGCUUAGAAGCAGCCAUUCAUUGAAAGAGUGCGUAAUAGCUCACUGGUCGAGCGGUCAGGCGCCGAAAAUGAACGGGCAUCAAGUCUAGCGCCGAAGCUUCGAACCCGUCUUUGGCGGGUGGUAGGGGAGCAUUCCAGCGGCAUCGAAGCGGUAUUGCGAGAUACCGUGGAGCUUCUGGAAAAGAAAAUGUAGGCAUGAGUAACGAUAAGACAAGUGAGAAACUUGUCCGCCGCAAGCCUAAGAGUUCCUGUUCAACGCUAAUCGGAACAGGGUUAGUCGGGAUCUAAGCUGAGGCCGAGAGGCGUAGGCGAUGGCAAACGGGUUAAUAUUCCCGUACCACCGACGAGCGAUAACGCAAGGCGUGACGUGGACGCGUAAGAGCCGCGUGCUGACGGAAGCACGUUAAAGUGUGUAGGCUGGGAACUAGGCAAAUCCGGUUCCCGUGACGGCUGAAGCACGACAGUAGGGAGCGCCGACAGGCAACCCCUUAGAGCUCCUGAGCAAGCCACCAAGAAAAGCGUCGUGCGUCGUUCUAGGUGCCCGUAUCAGAAUCCGACACAGGUAGGCGAGGAGAGUAUCCUCAGGCGCUCGAGUGAUUCGCGGUUAAGGAAUUCGGCAAUCUAGCCCCGUAACUUCGGGAGAAGGGGCGCCCUCUUUCACCCAAAAGCGAAGGAGGGCCGCAGUAACCAGGCCCAAACGACUGUUUAACAAAAACACAGACCUCUGCUAAGUCGCAAGACGACGUAUAGGGGUUGACACCUGCCCGGUACUGGAAGGUUAAGGGAGCGUGUUAAUGCCUUCGGGCAUGAAGCUCGCGACUGAAGCCCCAGUAAACGGCGGCCGUAACUAUAACGGUCCUAAGGUAGCGAAAUUCCUUGUCGGGUAAGUUCCGACCUGCACGAAUGGUGCAACGAUUUGGGCACUGUCUCGACCGCGAGCUCGGUGAAAUUGUGGUGCCGGUGAAGACGCCGGCUACCCUCAGUGGGACGGAAAGACCCUGUGCACCUUUACUACAACUUGGCAUUGACAUUAGUCAGGACAUGUGCAGGAUAGGCGGGAGGCAUUGAAGUCGCGUCGCCAGGCGCGAUGGAGCCAUCACUGAAAUACCGCCCUUGUCCUGAUUGAUGCCUAACCUUCGACCGUGAGCCGGUCGAGAGACAUUGUCAGGUGGGUAGUUUGACUGGGGCGGUCUCCUCCCAAAUAGUAACGGAGGAUUUCAAAGGUACCCUCAGCAUGGUCGGUAAUCAUGCGUAGAGUACAAAGGCAAAAGGGUGCUUGACUGCGAGACAUACAGGUCGAGCAGAUGCGAAAGCAGGACUUAGUGAUCCGGCGAUUCUGAAUGGAAGGGUCGUCGCUCAAAGGAUAAAAGGUACGCCAGGGAUAACAGGCUUAUCUCCGCCAAGAGUUCAUAUCGACGCGGAGGUUUGGCACCUC